rnacentral:rRNA from 1 species
AUGAUGGAAGACGGUGAAGAAGAAGAGUACGAUGACAACUAUGUGCCCCCUGAAUACAGUGAUGCUACAGAACAUCAAGAGGAACCAGACGAUGUGCACGAUGAUGCUGCAACGGGCGAAGCUGCUGAAGAUCAAGAGGAACCAGACGAUGUGCCCGAUGAUGAUGAUCUCCGUUGGGUCAUUGUCGAUGCAAGGACGCAAUGCAAAAGUCAAAAGGAGAAGCUGAAGUUCGAUCGCAUGUUAGAGGAUCACAAAAAAGGGUUGUACCCCAAUUGCGAAGAUGGCAACACAAAGCUCGGUACCGUACUGGAAUUGCUGCAGUGGAAGACACGGAAUGUUGUGCCAGACAAAUGA